rnacentral:rRNA from 1 species
GAUGAACGCUAGCUACAGGCUUAACACAUGCAAGUCGAGGGGAAACGGCAUUAAGUGCUUGCACUUUUUGGACGUCGACCGGCGCACGGGUGAGUAACGCGUAUCCAACCUUCCCAUGACUAAGGGAUAACCUGCCGAAAGGCAGACUAAUACCUUAUGGUCUUCACUGACGGCAUCAGAUGUGAAGUAAAGAUUUAUCGGUUAUGGAUGGGGAUGCGUCUGAUUAGCUUGUUGGCGGGGUAACGGCCCACCAAGGCAACGAUCAGUAGGGGUUCUGAGAGGAAGGUCCCCCACAUUGGAACUGAGACACGGUCCAAACUCCUACGGGAGGCAGCAGUGAGGAAUAUUGGUCAAUGGGCGAGAGCCUGAACCAGCCAAGUAGCGUGCAGGAUGACGGCCCUAUGGGUUGUAAACUGCUUUUGCAUGGGGAUAAAGUCAAUCACGUGUGAUUGUUUGCAGGUACCAUACGAAUAAGGACCGGCUAAUUCCGUGCCAGCAGCCGCGGUAAUACGGAAGGUCCGGGCGUUAUCCGGAUUUAUUGGGUUUAAAGGGAGCGUAGGCUGGAGAUUAAGUGUGUUGUGAAAUGUAGACGCUCAACGUCUGACUUGCAGCGCAUACUGGUUUCCUUGAGUACGCACAACGUUGGCGGAAUUCGUCGUGUAGCGGUGAAAUGCUUAGAUAUGACGAAGAACUCCGAUUGCGAAGGCAGCUGACGGGAGCGCAACUGACGCUGAAGCUCGAAGGUGCGGGUAUCGAACAGG